UACGUAGGGUGCGAGCGUUGUCCGGAUUCAUUGGGCGUAAAGAGCUCGUAGGCGGCCACUCAAGUCGAAUGUGAAACCUCGAGGCUUAACCUCGAGCCUGCAUUCGAUACUGGGCGGCUAGAGUCUGGUAGGGGGAUCUGGAAUUCCUGGUGUAGCGGUGGAAUGCGCAGAUAUCAGGAGGAACACCGGUGGCGAAGGCGGGAUCCUGGGCCAGUACUGACGCUGAGGAGCGAAAGCGUGGGGAGCAAACAGG
rnacentral:rRNA from 1 species